GGGCUGGGGCUCAGUGGCAGAGUGCUUGCCUAGCAUGUGUGAGGCACUGGGUUCAAUUCUCAGCACCACG
rnacentral:tRNA from 1 species